AGUUUUUUUUUUUAUUUUCAGAGAAAGUUCCUCUUCAACAGAUUUUUGUAUCCCUGAAUUUGGAUGAUGACAGAAGAAAAUCAAGAUCAUUUGAAAAGAACUAAUUAUAACAGUGUCAACUCUGAAUUGACGCUGAGUGGGUGGCAAAGGUGGAAACACCCUUGUAACUUCAAUAUUUUCAGAGGAAACAGGAUCAGCAACGUCGAGGAGUCACCCACCUGUCACUACUUUUGAAGUUCCCUGAGAACUGAGGAGGAAGCUUGUGACACGUUUAGUCUUUGCUGAUUCUUCCAGGCUUGCGUAGUUCUGUGUGUUCUCUGCUGUGGCUGAAGAUCGUGUCUGUGGGGUUGGCACCAUUAAUUGCCUGCAAGAUGAUGAUGGUGGGGACCUUGGCCUUGAAUGGCAGUCAGGUUACAUUUUGAAAAUUCCUUCUAGCUCUUUCCCCUUUCUCCAUAGAAAACUUGGGGUAGUCCAAUGGCUAUUAAGGGCUUUGUGUAAUGAAAAUUCUUUCAUCUGUAGUUAAUACCGAGCCCAUUAAAAAAGUAUACAUCAG
rnacentral:lncRNA from 1 species